rnacentral:rRNA from 1 species
CGGCACGGGUGAGUAACACGUAUGCAACCUGCCUGCCACAGCCGGAUAAUCGGGAGAAAUUCCGUCUAAUACGGCAUAAUGCAUCGACGGGACAUCCUGUUGGUGCCAAAGGUUGAUUCCGGUGGCGGAUGGGCAUGCGUCGCAUUAGUUAGUUGGCGGUGUAACGGACCACCAAGACGACGAUGCGUAGGGGUUCUGAGAGGAAGGUCCCCCACACUGGUACUGAGACACGGACCAGACCCCUACGGAAGGCAGCAG